rnacentral:lncRNA from 1 species
GGUCCUCAAUCUGUCAUUUGAACUAAAUCCUGUAAAAUCAUCAAAAAUAAAAAAAAUCCUCACAUUAGAUGAUUCUUCAUCGGUGGACCUUCUGAUGUCUAAGUCAGUCUUUCGCAGAAGCAAAUAAAACAAGUUUGAGUUUUAAAUGGUGCUUAAAAAUGAUAUCGAGUGUGAAAUAUGGAGGAUCUGUAUAAGAGUGUGAAGAAUG